rnacentral:rRNA from 1 species
UGUAACGGGUGGGGGGCGGCCGGGGUAAGACAGAGGGGGGAAGCGUUGUUCGGGAUUACAGGGCGGAAAGGGGGCGUAGGCGGCCCCCUAAGGCAGACGGGAAGGCCCCGGGCUCAACCCGGGAACUGCGUCUGAUACUGGAGGGCUUGAGUCCGGGAGAGGGAUGUGGAAUGCCAGGUGUAGCGGUGAAAUGCGUAGAUAUCUGGAGGAACACUGGUGGCGAAGGCGGCAUCCUGGACCGGCAUUGACGCUGAGGCGCGAAAGCCAGGGGAGCAAACGGGAUUAGAUACCCGAGUAGUC